rnacentral:tRNA from 1 species
GAGGGUAUAGCUCAGUGAUAGAGUGUGUGCUUAGCAUGCGUGAGGUCCUGGGUUCAAACCCUAGUAUCUCCA